AUUGAACGCUGGCGGCAUGCCUUACACAUGCAAGUCGAACGGUAACAGGUCUUCGGAUGCUGACGAGUGGCGAACGGGUGAGUAAUACAUCGGAACGUGCCUAGUAGUGGGGGAUAACUACUCGAAAGAGUGGCUAAUACCGCAUGAGAUCUACGGAUGAAAGCAGGGGAUCGCAAGACCUUGUGCUACUAGAGCGGCCGAUGGCAGAUUAGGUAGUUGGUGGGAUAAAAGCUUACCAAGCCGACGAUCUGUAGCUGGUCUGAGAGGACGAUCAGCCACACUGGGACUGCGACACGGCCCAGACUCCUACGGGAGGCAGCAGUGGGGAAUUUUGGACAAUGGGCGCAAGCCUGAUCCAGCAAUGCCGCGUGCAGGAUGAAGGCCUUCGGGUUGUAAACUGCUUUUGUACGGAACGAAAAGCCCUGGGUUAAUACCCUGGGGUCAUGACGGUACCGUAAGAAUAAGCACCGGCUAACUGCGUGCCAGCCGCCGCCGUAAGAC
rnacentral:rRNA from 1 species